rnacentral:lncRNA from 1 species
AUAGUACAGUUGCUUUUUGUUCUUUUGGCUGAAACUGAAGAGGACAUUGAAGAAAGAGAUAGAAAGGCCACAGAGUAGACCCCGAGAUGCUUGUGGGAGUCUGUGGUGGGUGGGCCUGUUGGAGCUGGUGAGGGGGCCUGUGGGCCACAGUGGGCUUUGAAAGACUUUUGCCGGAGUCAGGCCACUUUCCUGAGCGGCUGUUAUCAGGCUCUGCCACAGGAGCCCUUAGCGUGAAGGCUGCUUUGCCCAGGGCAGCCUGUCCCAGACCUGCCCUACUAAUGUUUGGCUUUGAGUGUCUCUGGUUCACGGCAAGUGAUUAGGUCGAAUAAACCUUAGGUCAAGGAGCUUAGUCACCUCUUUCCAGCCUAAAUGACAAGCACCCUGAAUUCCCAUGAGUUUUUGGUGCUUGACGGCAUCCUGGCAUAGACAUUGGUUUGCAAGCGUGUCUUAACAGCAAACUGACCUGCUGCGUCUGCCUCUUGGUGCAGCAUACAAGCAGCCAAUGGAAAAAUCGGCAACCUGCAUUCAAAGAUUUGGCCUUGGUCACAGUUAAAAAUUAACCGUGGUUUAAUUUUUGUACUGGGUUGUUCCCCCCCCAAUCCAAACUCAAUUUCCUGUUGCAGAAUAAAUUGAUUUCAUCGCGUCAUAUGGAAGACUUCUUUUCUUUAUCCCAAACCUGUGAUUUUAAUGUAGAACAUUGAAUGUAGGUCAGUAUUCACCUCUUUCUCAGAAAUCUGGGAAGACAAUUUUGGGUUUUUUUUUUUCACCCCCAGUUUCUCUGAAUAAUACUCCCCAGGUUGUUAAGAGCAUUGAUAAAGUUCCCCAGCCUCGGAUCUAGAACUGGAAUGUUAAAGCCCUUCGCGCCUACGAAAGGAAUGAGGGCGUUUCCCGAGUUGGGCCAGAGAGGAAACCUCACUCACGGGAAGCUUCUGAGCGGACAAGCUGCUCGACCUCCGACCUCCUCCGGGAGACUCAGCCCGAGGUCCAGCGUCACCUUUGUUCUAAAUUCUCUGCUCUUCAUGAAUGGCGGAUAGUAUUUUAGAAGUCUAGCCAACUAGUGCUUUGAAACGGAGGGAGAGCUACACUGAAAAGACUUAAGGUAAUCUAAAUGGAUGUUCUAGUGAUGUCAGUAUUCAGAAGAGAGAUCCUAUUAGAGUGACUUUUCAGGAAAAAAAAAAAAGUUCCGUAACCUGAGUCCCGCCCCCCCCCUCCCGCCACCAUCCCCUCUCGCUUUUGCACUCCAGCAAGACGCAGCCUGUUGCUUCCCAAACCCGCAGAGCUGUUUCCUGUUCCUGGCCUUUGGGGAAGCCCCCCACCCUCCCAACUCUGCUGUCCACCUCCCCAGACACACCCUGCCCACAGCCCAGGGCAGCCUUCCGCGCCACAGAUACACUGGUGGUAAAGGAUGGAGUGUGUUUGGCUUGCAUCAGUUUGCCAGGAGCAAGGGAGGGUAGCUACAAAGCACUGCUCUAACCUGUUAUUUUCUGCACUAUUAAAAUGUAAAGCAGGCUGACAUAAGAAUCCACUCUUCUCCACCGGUCACCACCAUAAGAUUUAUGAAUCAUUUGCUAAAUCCACCGCCAGUUUUAAAAUCCGGCUCCCAGGCUAGGUCUGCAGGAAAUAAGCUUGUGAGAUCAUAAGUGCUAUGGAGUAGGAAGUUAUUUACUGGAUCCUGCAGUGUUAGCACUGGGAAUCCCAAGAAAGCUGCCUAAUAAGCUGGGUUGUACCCAUUUGGAACCUAGUGUCUCCAAAGGUGGGGGGGGUGAACAUGUCAGAAACAUCGAAAAUGAGUUUAAAUUAAAGCCUGAAGUUUUUAAAUAUAAAGCAAAGUUUGAGUACAUUAGCUUUUAAGAUAGAGAUGCUGAAGAGAAACCCUAAUGAAAUACACUGUGGUGUUACUCUCAGGAAUUAAAAAUAACAACAGAGGACACAGCAUAUGGAAGUUCCCAGACUAGGGGUCAAAUCAGAGUUGUAGCUCACACCACACCGCAGCUCACAGCAACUCCGGAUCCUUAACCCACUGAGCGAGACCAGGGAUCACACCCACAUCCUCAUGGAUCCAGGUUGGGUUCAUUACCACUGAGCCACCAUGAGAACUCACUAAAUGGAAGUGGUUUUAAAACGAGUGAUCUGCCUGCCCUCCUGUGGGUACAGCAAGGCAGCAGCCAUAAAACGAAAACCCUGGUCAGUUCCCAGAGUGAAACCUGCAGUCUUAGCCACCUAAGUCCUGGGGCAGGUGGUCCCCUGAGCAAGAUGCUGUUUCCCUAGGGGUGGGGGUGGGGGGCUUUUUCUGACGUUAAAGCUCCUCUAGUCUGGGACUCCCAGGUGGGCAGCCUGGUGGCCUCCUGCUCGGCCAGCCCCUCUCCUGAGCCCUGUGGGGGGAAGCCCCCUCCUCCCCGCCGAGGGGCUGCCCCCACCAGGGUCACCUUCUCUGCCUGCUCUUUGAAUCACCUCUCCCCCAUUUUUGAAGUGAGCUUUGAACUUGGGGGCUUGGGGCAGGAGGAAGAGAGCACCAGAAGUGUUGUGUAAACACUGGUUCUGAUCCUUCUCAACUUUUACUACCUGUAAGGACAGGUGGACGUGGAGAAGCUGCUGGCAGGAAGGGCCAAUUGUUCUCAAGGUUAUGGGUUAUGCAAUCGAGCAGAAGAGCUUUGAAGCUGCAGGAGGAGGUCAGAGCAGCUUGUCCACAAAGCAUAUGACGCAGAAGUUUCCCUUUAGAAGAACUUACUUGCUUGACUCUCGUUAGGAAUUCCUGUGCCAGCAUUUAGCUGGAUCUCUGGGGUGAGUCGUUAUCUCCGGUCUGCAGUUAAAGUAAGGAAUUUCUUUUAAAGGACCCUACUUCCGGAGUUUUCCUGAGAUGCCAGGCUGAAGCGGGUACCUUCAGCACCUAUUUUUGUAUAGAAUGUCGUUUCAUCCGAGUCUGUAACCUUGUGCUCGUGUCCGUGGGAAAGAAAAAAAUAGUGAGACCCUUCUUUAUCCAGUUACGAGGCGGAGGUAGACGGUGAUGUCAUAGGUUGUGUGGACCCGGCUGUGCUGAGCUUGCGUCUGGGACAGUGACCAGACAGACCAGAGGAGAAGUGGAAGGUAUUUUUAGCCCCUGGGGGCUGCUCUGGACGCCGCUUCUCCGGGCGCCCCAGUACCUCCCGCGGGGAGAUGCGGCGCAGGCGCACUGGCUCUCAUGCCUUCCGCCUCUGAAUCAUACCGUAGAAUAUUCGGGAGCCCUGGUGGGCUGCCGACUUGAUGGCGCAGCUUUGAGAGCCACACACUUCAGCCCAAAUCUGAGACGUUGCUGGAGGGCCUCUCAGCGGGCCCUGGGUCCCUCGCAGGGACCGGACCAGUCCUCUUCUUCCGAAGUGUGGUUUUCUCUGGAAAUCCGGGCCUGGGUACGCAGUUCACUCCUUUUUUUUUUUUUUUUUCCUGCGUUGAGCUGCUCCAGGCAUGCGUGGAAGUUCUGCUGCUGAGAACAGCAUGACCUCUGCAAGUAGGUUCUUAAAAUCUUUGGAGAGCCGGUUUGAACCGCGAGCAGUAAGUCAGCUGAAAACUUCUGUCAGGUUAUGUACAUCAAGUGCAGCUUUAGAAAAGUGAUAAAAGGAAGGGAUCCUGUCUGGGGUACGCAGGCUGUCCCUAGAAUCACUUUUGCAGGCUGAAGGGCUUCUGGAUGUGAUGUGGAGGGUGUAGGUCAGUUUCCGAAUAAGUCGGCUUCUGCUUGGCUGGUCAGGGUUUUGACUGCGGGCCAGUCCGUCUCUCUGGCCGUGGGAGUGAGCGGUGCCAGUAGGAGUGUGGAAGACACCACGUGCUGUGUGGAAGAAGCUCUGGAUGAGAUUAGGAGGCCGGAUCCUUGUCUCUCUCCUCCAGCUGCCUCCCCCGACCCCAGUAUGUCCCAGCCUCGAGCUCGAGUGACCCUGGCGGGUUCCUGGGCCUCUCUCUACCCCCGUUGAUAAGUUGAGGCCGUGUAUGGCCUACAGGCCCCGAGUCAGGCUGCCUGGGUCUGCAUCCAGGCUCUGCCCCUUGCUGGCUCUGUGACUCAGGGCACAUGAGCAUUUCUCAGUGUCUUGGUGCCUGUUUCCCCAUCACUAAUGGGAAUAGUACCCACUUCACAGGCUGCUGUGAGGCCCAAUUGGGUUAAAGUGUGUGGCCUGCCUGCAAGGCGGUUGGCCUUUCUUGGGAUGGCUCACAAAUGCCUCUUCCAGUGAGGGAGUCUGUUACUUUCUUCUACCUCUUCAGGCAAAUGGACCACCCGAGAGGUCCCUAGAGGAGGCAAAGCAGGUGAUGACCAGGGAAGCCAGAGGGGCCCUGGGGUGGGUCUCGGUGCCCGCCCUGUGCUCUGCCUCCCUCCCUGGUCUCCCCAAGAAAAGCUCAGCCCGGCAGAGCACAGGCCCCAGCAGCUCCCGCUGUUAACUGUGCAGGGAAGACAGAUCCUCAGGUGAGCAGCGUCGCUGCCCUGGGGUGCUGCCCCCAGGCCCACGGAUGCCCAGGCAGCCUGUGCCAGUUUUCUCAGUUUUCAAGUGUCGUGGUCAGACUGGGUCAUGGGGGCCAAGCUCUUUACUAGCUGGUUCCCCUGAUGAAAACUCUUUCAUUGAAACGCUUCAUUCCCGAUCUACAUUGUUUCCAAUCCCCAUGCUCUUCUCUGAGGGCUCAGCUGGCUGCCCUUCAGAGAGCCCAGUGAGAGACAAGUGUAGUAGUUUCAUGCAGCUUCCCACCUCCCUCUCCAACCGCCUGGUACUCCGUGGUUUCUGCAGAGGUUCUCAGUAGGAGAAAAGUUAUGUUUAUGGGGCACAUUCAGAGAGCUUGUGCCUCCAUUCCAGAAUUUGUUUGGAGGCUCUGCCCCACGUGGUGGAGAAUCUUGUUAAGUUCGGGUGGUUCCCUACAGUUUCCACUAGAAAUUACGUCUUUAAAGACUGCUCUGGGCAGGAGAGUCUGGAACUCCCUGCUAGAGACCUUGGGGACUGGCAAGGGACAUCUACGAAUCCGAAGAGGGGCUAAGUUAGGUGAGCAAUCUGAGAACAGAGGCCAGGCUUUAUUGCCUUGUAAAUCACAAACCUGAAGUUUUGUCAGAUCUUUGGGUAAGGGGAGAGCCACCCUGAAUAGAUAACCCUGUCCUAAAUUGCCUUUGCAAGGACCUAAAAUAUGAGACUAUUGAAUGUUCUUCAUUAUACGUAAUUGUUAGUCCAGGAGUUCCCAUUGUGGCUCAGUGGUAAUGAAACCCACUAGUAUCCAUGAGGACGAGGGUUCCAUCUCAGGCCUCACUCAGUGGGUUAAGGGUCCAGUGUUGCUUUGAGCUGUGGUGUAGACCAGCAGCUGUGGCUCUGAUUCAAUCCCUAGGCUGAGAACUUCCUCAGAACUUGAGAACUGUGCCACAGGUGCAGCCCCUG